rfam:TPA: Bos taurus chromosome 7, whole genome shotgun sequence.
UGGCUCAGAUGGUAAAGCGUCUGCCUGCAAUGCAGAAGACCAGGGUUCGAUCCCUG